rnacentral:rRNA from 1 species
GAUGAACGCUAGCUACAGGCUUAACACAUGCAAGUCGAGGGGAAACGAUGAGAGAGCUUGCUCUCUUAGUCGUCGACCGGCGCACGGGUGAGUAGCGCGUAUCCAACCUGCCUCUGACCAAGGGAUAACCCGUCGAAAGUCGGACUAAUACCUUAUGCAGUCGUCGGAAGUCAUCUGAUGACGACGAGAGAUUUCAUCGGUGAGAGAUGGGGAUGCGUCUGAUUAGCUUGUUGGCGGGGUAACGGCCCACCAAGGCGACGAUCAGUAGGGGUUCUGAGAGGAAGGUCCCCCACAUUGGAACUGAGACACGGUCCAAACUCCUACGGGAGGCAGCAGUGAGGAAUAGUGGUCAAUGGGCGUAAGCCUAAACCAGCCAAGUAGCGUGCAGGAUGACGGCCCUAUGGGUUGUAAACUGCUUUUAUGCGGGGAUAAAGUGAGGGACGUGUCCUUCAUUGCAGGUACCGCAUGAAUAAGAACCGGCUAAUUCCGUG